rnacentral:rRNA from 1 species
AGCGAACGCUGGCGGCAGGCCUAAUACAUGCAAGUCGAACGGCUCUUCGGAGCAGUGGCGGACGGGUGAGUAACGCGUGGGAACGUGCCCUUUGCUUCGGAACAACACAGGGAAACUUGUGCUAAUACCGAAUGUGCCCGUCGGGGGAAAGAUUUAGCGCCAUUUGAGAGGCCCGCGUUGGAUUAGGUAGUUGGUGGGGUAAAGGCCUACCAAGCCUACGAUCCAUAGCUGGUCUGAGAGGAUGAUCAGCCACACUGGGACUGAGACACGGCCCAGACUCCUACGGGAGGCAGCAGUAGGGAAUCUUGCGCAAUGGGCGAAAGCCUGACGCAGCCAUGCCGCGUGAAUGAUGAAGGUCUUAGGAUUGUAAAAUUCUUUCACCGGGUAAGAUAAUGACGGUACCCGGAGAAGAAGCCCCGGCUAACUUCGUGCCAGCCGCCGCCGUAAUAC